rnacentral:rRNA from 1 species
GAUGAACGCUGGCGGCGUGCCUAAUACAUGCAAGUCGAGCGAACAGACGAGGAGCUUGCUCCUCUGACGUUAGCGGCGGACGGGUGAGUAACACGUGGAUAACCUACCUAUAAGACUGGGAUAACUUCGGGAAACCGGAGCUAAUACCGGAUAAUAUAUUGAACCGCAUGGUUCAAUAGUGAAAGACGGUUUUGCUGUCACUUAUAGAUGGAUCCGCGCCGCAUUAGCUAGAUGGUAAGGUAACGGCUUACCAAGGCAACGAUGCGUAGCCGACCUGAGAGGAUGAUCGGCCACACUGGAACUGAGACACGGUCCAGACUCCUACGGGAGGCAGCAGUAGGGAAUCUUCCGCAAUGGGCGAAAGCCUGACGGAGCAACGCCGCGUGAGUGAUGAAGGUCUUCGGAUCGUAAAACUCUGUUAUUAGGGAAGAACAAAUGUGUAAGUAACUAUGCACGUCUUGACGGUACCUAAUCAGAAAGCCACGGCUAACUACGUG